rnacentral:rRNA from 1 species
UACGUAGGGGCUAGCGUUUGUCCGGAAUUAUUGGGCGUAAAGCGCGUGUAGGCGGCUUGGCAAGUCGGGUGUGAAAGCCCUCAGCUCAACUGAGGAAGUGCGCCCGAAACUGCUGAGCUCGAGUGCCGGAGAGGGUGGCGGAAUUCCCCAAGUAGAGGUGAAAUUCGUAGAUAUGGGGAGGAACACCGGUGGGCGAAGGCGGCCACCUGGACGGUAACUGACGCUGAGACGCGAAAGCGUGGGUAGCAAACAGG